rnacentral:lncRNA from 13 species
CUUCUCUUUCCAGAAUGAAUCCCAAGUGACUGUCAUUAGAGUGUAGCAAUAUUUUUAGGCUGAAGAUAGUCUCCAGACAGAGCUAUGACAGUUCAUUGUUUUCUUAUAAUAAUAUUUUACAAGAAGUAAUAAAGCUGGAAUGAAGUCACUUUCAAACACAAGGAUAUUUUUUCCCACCCGCCCCCACAAGGCCCCAGAUAAGAGAGGCUUUACCAACAGAAUCUGGAAACACAGAUACCACAGUGCAUCUGUUGGGAGAGCCCCUCCUACCUGUUUGAAGAAGUAAUAUGAUUCCCUUUGUAUUUCCCUGUCUGAGUAAAUCAUUUUUGAGCCCAGGAUUCUUUAGAAAUUCUCCCACUUCAAUGAUUUCAAUUUCUAAGCAUUUAUCAAGCUAGUGCUAUGGGUCAGUCUUAUGUAAUUGACAUGGAAGACAAAGAUGAAUAACAUGGUUCUCAGACUCAAGUAGUUUUCGAAAAUCUGCCACGUGUUAAACAACAAGCAACUGGAUCCCAUCUUUCCUCACCGUUGUACCCAUGGAGAAGUUCAAGAGCGCUUUAAAAUACCUUGCAACUAGAAGUUUCCCAUGGAG